GGCAGUGUGUGUAUAAAUCUCAAACUUUUUGCUUUAAAUUGCAGACAUGUCAAGUUCUUUCUCCUCGGUGGCAGAAAAGAGAGAGACUUUAGCGAAAGGUGAAACAGAGCUUCAACCGGAUGGACAAUAAUUUAAGAUGAACCUUUCCAAACACUGCUAAAAACAUUCAUUUUCACAAACACGUGUGACAUGACACGUUUACAAACCUAAUCUGUGUAAAAGAUGACUGUCCCCAUUAUUCCUUGGGAAAAGACAAUACACAGUAUACUUCACUGAAAUAAACAAACUCAGUCAAACUGAAUCAAGUAGGUUUAUUUCUGCAGCACCAUUUCAUACUGAAUGUAUGUCAAAAUGAUUGCUUGUUUCUGCCAGUUUGAGUUGGUUUCUGUCUGGUCCAAGCUGGCACAGAUCUUUGAUCCACUGGACUCCAAAACCUGGCAUGACCACCCUAAGCUCGUAUGACCUGGGUUUUCCAAGCAGGAAUUGCUGAUGUGAUUUUUUUACGUUAAAGAUGUAGUCCCCCUCGCGCAGCUCUGUAACUGGCCUCACUGGGCUCAUUGUGGAGCUGCUCCAUGGGGUUCACCUUAACUGAGUGGUGUUCUCCAAUCAUUAUUCACAAACACAACCCACAAAGUCAUAUAUUACUCAUAUUUACCCCUUUAACAUUACUGUAGAUCCAGUGGAGACAGACCAGCGUUCUCAGACACCCACACUUCCUGCCAGUAUACAGGCUUUCCUCAUCAGGGGCAGUGCACGCUGUGUUUGUGCACAUGUGCGUGAGUGUACGAGCGGCACAUCUUCUUCCAGGUCAUGCAAAACUAGAAGAGAAAAAAGAAGAGAAAGCAAGCAAGAAUAUUAUGAGGUAAAAUGUUUAUUUAGUGACACAUUGUUUAAUCGAUUAAUUCAACAGACAUAGAUUAUUUACAAUUGCUCUUUACCUAAUUAAAAGAAUAACUGUGUGUGUGUGUUAUAGAAUAUUAUUUUCCCUUCUAUUCCAUCACCCCUCUGUACAGAAGGAGAGCAGAUCUUUCUCUCUCUCUCUCUCUCUCUCUCUCUCUGUCUCUCUCUCUGUCUCUCUCUCUCUCUCUCUCUGGGGUCUGUAUGGAGCAAUCCGAAUCACUCCAGUGUCUUGCUUUGCCCAGUGUGCCUUUGUGGGAAUAACAUAAUCAAAAGUGGGUUUGUAUUGGGGGAAAAACAAUUGUGUUAGUGUCUCUUUAGCCAUAUAAUUAUAUGUCCAUUCAGUGGGGUGAAGGAAACACUGUGUGUGUGUGUGUGUUUAGAUUCCCAGGGUGAUCGCUUGAGGCUGCUGUAUUCAGAAUUUCCAAGUAAGAGCUGCCAAAAGUUAACAAGACAUUUACCAUACAUCAUACCACACGCUCCCUAACCAACACACAUUACACUCUCAGAGAGAGAGAGACUGGAACACCCUUCUUUACGAAUAUCUAUCUAUCUAUCUAUCUAUCUAUCUAUCUAUCUAUCUAUCUAUCUAUCUAUCUAUCUAUCUAUCUAUCUAUCUAUCUAUCUAUCUAUCUAUCUAUCUAUCUAUCUAUCUAUCUAUCUAUCUGUCUGUCUAAAUGAUAGAUGACCAAUCUGCUUUUUUAGUUGUAAAUCUUCUCAUUGUCAGCAUAGUUCCACUCUCAGCUGUUUCCUGACUGUGAUUAUGACCUUUGACCUUCUCCAUUGAUAUUCCGUUGAAGGGUUUAAACUCACUGAGAGAACAUGAUGUUUUUUAGUGAGUUUUAGCAGCACAGAAGUCUCGAGGGUAAUUGUUACUGAAGGAGCAUCUGAGCUGAAUGUUAUGGAGGAUCUGUGUUCUCUGAGUCACAGACAUUCCUCCAAACAGCAUGUGCUCUCGGUUUAUCUGACCGCCGUCUUGAGAUGUUGCUGUUGUGAAGCAGAUGCUCUGGAAUAUUUCUGCAGGGACUGAUUUGUCAUUCAUCCACUGAUCUGGAGAAAUGACACAGAAAAGGAGGAUUUUAGGACGAUCUGAAUUUGUUUAAUCGUUCAAAAAGAAUGAACUUCUUUCACGGUGGGUUUGAUAUUGAUUGAGGAGGUUAAUGUCAUGAUGUCCUGCAGCUUUACAGUAGCUCAGUAAUGCUGAAGACACCGUGUGCCCAAAAUACACAGAUAAAGUGGCUCCAGGAAGUAUUUGGUCAGUUUUGAAAAUCAAUAUAGUGUUCUGUUAUCAUGUAGAAGUGAAACUGCUGAAUUGAGGAGAGAUGGUUAUAUUCCUCUUACUGUAUAUGGUGGGUUUG
ensembl:lncRNA